rnacentral:rRNA from 1 species
AUGCAGUACUGGUCGGUUGAGAGGGCGGAGGAGAUCAUGGGAAAGCAUGUGCGCGUCGACCGCCUCGACAGCCGGACCCACGAGCGCGGCCGCACCAAAACCUUUGCGUGCUGGGUCUAGACCAGCGAUUUCGCCAACAUCCCCACCAAGCAUACGCUGGGGGUGCUGCCGCGCGGUACCGAUCGGGUGGAGGAGAUGGAGGGAUUCUCUCCCCCCGACAGGCGUGUGGCUCCCCCGCCGGCCACCGCCGACUACACCAUGCUCAUCCAUGUCGAUCGUGUAGAAGAUUGGACGCCGCCCUCGCCGUGCUCUUCCCACUCUGGGUAG